rnacentral:rRNA from 1 species
GACAGAGGGUGCAACCGUUGUUCGGAAUUACUGGGCGUAAAGCGUGUGUAGGCGGUCUCGUAAGUCGGGUGUGAAAGCCCUGGGCUCAACCCAGGAAGUGCACUCGAAACUGCGAGGCUAGAGUACUGGAGAGGUUGGUGGAAUUCUCGGUGUAGAGGUGAAAUUCGUAGAUAUCGAGAGGAACACCGGUGGCGAAGGCGGGUCUCUGGGCCGUAACUGACGCUGAGGAGCGAAAGCAUGGGGAGCGAACAGG